GACGAACGCUGGCGGCGUGCUUUACACAUGCAAGUCGAACGGUGAAGGUGGAGCUUGCUCCGCCGGAUCAGUGGCGAACGGGUGAGUAACACGUGGGCAACCUGCCCCUAACUUUGGGAUAACUACUCGAAAGAGUAGCUAAUACCGGAUAUGAAGUCUGUAGGCAUCUAUGGAUUUGGAAAGUUUUUCGGUUAGGGAUGGGCCCGCGGCCUAUCAGCUUGUUGGUGAGGUAGUGGCUCACCAAGGCGACGACGGGUAGCCGGCCUGAGAGGGCGACCGGCCACACUGGGACUGAGACACGGCCCAGACUCCUACGGGAGGCAGCAGUGGGGAAUAUUGCACAAUGGGCGGAAGCCUAAUGCAGCAACGCCGCGUGAGGGAUGACGGCCUUCGGGUUGUAAACCUCUUUUAGCAGGGAAGAAGCGAGAGUGACGGUACCUGCAGAAAAAGCACCGGCUAACUACGUGCCAGCAGCCGCAGUAA
rnacentral:rRNA from 1 species